rnacentral:rRNA from 1 species
UCCCGCGCUCUGUUUCUCAAACACAUAGCCUAGGGUAAGAUCCUAGGUGAGCCCUGCCCAAUGAAUUUUGAAUGGCCGCAGUACCCUGACUGUGCUAAGGUAGCGUAAUCAGUUGGCUUUUAAAUGAAGUCGAGAAUGAAUGGGUCCACGGGAAUGAGCUGUCUCUUUUGUUUUUCCAUGAAAUUAUUUAGAAGGUGAAAAUCCCUUCAACGAGAAAAAAGACGAGAAGACCCUUAGAGUUUUAACUAAACUGUUUAGCUUGUUAGUUUUUGCUGGGGCGGCAAGGAGACAGUUAACUCUCCAAUUUUAAACAAGAUGGCCUUAAUGAGAAGUUUCAAUAAACUACCUUAGGGAUAACAGCAUAAUUAAUUUUUAGUUUGUGACCUCGAUGUUGGACUAGGGAUACUUUUGGCUAGCAGCCAAAAGUGAUGGUUCUGUUCGAACUCUUUCCCCUACAUGAUCUGAGAUAAGACCGGGG